rnacentral:SRP_RNA from 1 species
GCCAGGUGUGGUAGCUCACACCUGUAAUCCCAGCACUUUGGGAGGCCGAGGCAGGUGGAUCACCUGAGGUCAGGAGUUCAAGACCAGCCUGGCCAACAUGGUGAAACCCUGUCUCUA